rnacentral:rRNA from 1 species
AUUGAACGCUGGCGGCAGGCUUAACACAUGCAAGUCGAGCGGGGAAGGUUGCUUCGGUAACUGACCUAGCGGCGGACGGGUGAGUAAUGCUUAGGAAUCUGCCUAUUAGUGGGGGACAACGUUCCGAAAGGAAAGCUAAUACCGCAUACGCCCUACGGGGGAAAGCAGGGGAUCUUCGGAACUUGCGCUCGUAGAUGAGCAUAAGACGGAGUAGCUAGGUGGUGGGGUAAAGGACUACCAAGGCGACGAUCUGUAGCGGGUCUGAGAGGAUGAUCCGCCACACUGGGACUGCGACACGGCCCAGACUCCUACGGGAGGCAGCAGUGGGGAAUAUUGGACAAUGGGCGGAAGCCUGAUCCAGCCAUGCCGCGUGUGUGAAGAAGGCCUUUUGGUUGUAAAGCACUUUAAGCGAGGAGGAGGCUCCUUUAGUUAAUACCUAAAGUGAGUGGACGUUACUCGCAGAAUAAGCACCGGCUAACUCUGUGCCAGCCGCCGCAGUAA